AGAGUUUGAUCCUGGCUCAGGAUGAACGCUGGCGGUAUGCUUAACACAUGCAAGUCGAACGGAAUCCUUAGGGAUUUAGUGGCGGACGGGUGAGUAACGCGUGAGAAUCUGCCUUCAGGUUCGGGACAACCACUGGAAACGGUGGCUAAUACCGAAUGUGCAGCAAUGUGAAAAAUUUAUUGCCUGAAGAUGAGCUCGCGUCUGAUUAGCUAGUAGGUGUGGUAAGAGCGCACCUAGGCGACGAUCAGUAGCUGGUCUGAGAGGAUGAUCAGCCACAUUGGGACUGAGACACGGCCCAAACUCCUACGGGAGGCAGCAGUGGGGAAUAUUGGNACAAUGGGCGCAAGCCUGAUCCAGCCAUGCCGCGUGAGUGAUGAAGGCCUUAGGGUUGUAAAGCUCUUUCGUCCGGGACGAUAAUGACGGUACCGGAAGAAGAAGCCCCGGCUAACUUCGUGCCAGCAGCCGCGGUAAUACGAAGGGGGCUAGCGUUGUUCGGAAUUAUUGGGCGUAAAGAGCUCGUAGGCGGUUUGUCGCGUCUGCUGUGAAAGCCCGGGGCUUAACCCUGGGUCUGCAGUGGGUACGGGCAGACUGGAGUGCGGUAGGGGAGAUCGGAAUUCCUGGUGUAGCGGUGAAAUGCGCAGAUAUCAGGAAGAACACCGGUGGCGAAAGCGCUCUGCUGGACCUUAACUGACACUGAGGGACGAAAGCUAGGGGAGCGAAUGGGAUUAGAUACCCCCGUAGUCC
rnacentral:rRNA from 1 species